rnacentral:lncRNA from 1 species
CGAGCGCUCUUGAGGUGGGCGUGCCGCUACUUAAGGGGAUGCUGACGGCGAGCGGGUAUUAGCACUGAAGAUCUCCCAGCAAUGCCAGCAGAAGACAUGUGCUGAAGUACGGAGGUGUGUGGCUGUGCCGCAUGGGGAGAGGGCGUUCCUGUUCAUGACUGAUCUUUCCUGCUCAGCAACUGCUUGGUGCUGAUAGAACUGUGAGGAAACAUGCGCUGGAAGUCCUGCUGAUGUCUAAAAGCCUCAGGAUUUGGUGAGCACAAAGAUAAAAAGCUAAAUCUGUGCAAGGAAGCCUGGAGCAUCUGGGGAGGGAAAUUUGAGCUGUUAGCUGCCUCAGUCUUUUUUCUUUUUUUCUUUGCUUUCCACUUGUUUUGGCAUUUACAUCAGUGCAGCAUCACCACUCUGUUGAUAACAUUGUAUGGUGACUUUGCAUUUACUUUACAAUGGUGUGGUUGGCUUUACAAAAGAGAAAUAGACUCCAGGAAUCUUUUUUUUCAGCUUACAGAGAUAUAAAUCUAAGAUUGUUUUGUUGGAUUUUUGCAGGCUAUCUUAUCUAGAGUUCUGCUACCACUGUACUAAUGUAACUGAAUACUGUGGUUUUAUUUCAUUAUUUUUUACAUGUUUUCCACAGAAACAAGAGUUAUAAAGUCAAAGUAAGUAGAAGCAUUGAAUAUAUUUUAUCUGUGUUCCAGUAGUGGUAUGAAUGGCUGUGGUAUUUCAGUAGGAGUUGCAGGGGUAGAUACAGAGCAAACUAUUUGCUUUUUCAUGGUAAUAUUGCAUGCUGAUUUACUGUAUGUGGCAUUAUGGGUAGUAACUUUCGAGUUGGAAAUAAGUUAUCUGUAACUGGAAAUGGAAGAAUCAUUUUAAAAGUCAGAUAUGAAUCAAGACACCAAAUUAUGAUGUUUUGCUAAUAAGGAAAAGUUAAUUUCAUCAGUGACAUGAGGAAAAUGUUGAGCUUUCCAAUUAUUGCCUUGCGUUUCUUUCAAACUUCAUUAAGAUGUAAUUGUUUCAAGCAAAUAUUUUUAGUAUGUGUUCCCCACAUAAUAGAGCAAUGUAGAGAGUGAUGUAUAUGUAAAACUGCAGCUGAACAGAACAGUAUUUUUUCUCAACAUGCUGCACUUCCCCUCUGGGUUGUUGAUGACCUGUUGUUUAUGCAGUGCCAUGCAGCUGACAGUCAGUCUCCAAGACUGUGGUUCCAGUUUCCAGGUUGUGGCUAAAGUCUAGCUGUAGCAGUGAUUUACUCAUAAUGUCUGUUAUCUUCCUCGUUUGUUGAUUGUAAAAUGCAUGUUAAAUAUUUUUUUUAUUUUCAAAAGAGGUCUUAAGUGUUUAUGUGAACUGAAAAAUAUCU